rnacentral:rRNA from 1 species
UACGGAGGGGGCGAGCGUUGUCCGAAGUUACUGGGCGUAAAGCGCGCGUAGGCGGGCUAUUAAGUGGGAGGUGAAAGGCUGGGGCUCAACCCCAUGCAGUGCCUCCCAUACUGGUAGUCUUGAGGGCGGUAGGGAGAAGUGGAAUGGCUGGUGUAGCGGUGAAAUGCGUAGAUAUCAGUCGGAACACCGGUGGCGAAGGCGGCUUCCUGGACCGGCAUUGACGCUGAGGCGCGAAAGCUAGGGGAGCAAACGGG